GACGAACGCUGGCGGCGUGCUUAACACAUGCAAGUCGAACGGAAAGGCCCUGCUUUUGUGGGGUGCUCGAGUGGCGAACGGGUGAGUAACACGAGAGUAACCUGCCCUUGACUUUGGGAUAACUUCAGGAAACUGGGGCUUAUACCGGAUAGGAGCUCCUGCUGCAUGGUGGGGGUUGGAAAGUUUCGGCGGUUGGGGAUGGACUCGCGGCUUAUCAGCUUGUUGGUGGGGUAGUGGCUUACCAAGGCUUUGACGGGUAGCCGGCCUGAGAGGGUGACCGGCCACAUUGGGACUGAGAUACGGCCCAGACUCCUACGGGAGGGAGCAGUGGGGAAUAUUGGAAAAUGGGCGGAAGCCUGAUGCAGCAACGCCGUGUGCGGGAUGACGGCCUUCGGGUUGUAAACCGCUUUCGCCUGUGACGAAGCGUGAGUGACGGUAAUGGGAAAAGAAGCACCGGCUAACUACGUG
rnacentral:rRNA from 1 species